rnacentral:rRNA from 1 species
AUUGAACGCUGGCGGCAUGCCUUACACAUGCAAGUCGAACGGCAGCACGGGAGCAAUCCUGGUGGCGAGUGGCGAACGGGUGAGUAAUAUAUCGGAACGUGCCCAGUCGUGGGGGAUAACGUAGCGAAAGCUACGCUAAUACCGCAUACGAUCUAUGGAUGAAAGCGGGGGAUCGCAAGACCUCGCGCGAUUGGAGCGGCCGAUAUCAGAUUAGGUAGUUGGUGGGGUAAAGGCUCACCAAGCCGACGAUCUGUAGCUGGUCUGAGAGGACGAGCGGCCACACUGGGACGGAGACACGGCCCAGACUCCUACGGGAGGCAGCAGUGGGGAAUUUUGGGCAAUGCGAGCAUGCCUGGUCCAGCAAGGCCGCGUGCGCGGUGACGGCAUUCGGGUUGUAAACUGCUUUGGUACGGAGCGAAAAGGCUUCCACUAAUACUGGGGGCUCAUGACGGUACCGUAAGAAUAAGCACCGGCUAACUGCGUGCCAGCCGCCGCCGUAACAC